CUUUCACGCGUGCUACAGGAGGUCUCUGUUGGGCUCGCUGCAGCCCGUGCUCACACGAGCCUGUUUACAUGGGGAGCAUCGCGGCUUUCUUUAAGAGCGUCCUCUUCUCCCUGCAGGCAGCCCAGGGGAUGGACGGUCCUGGCCCAGGGGAUGGAUGGUGGUGGCCGAGGGAUGGCCACAGCCCGGGGGGUGACCACGCCACUGCCCCUUGCAGCCAGACCAGCCCGGACCCGCCUGGUACCGCAUUCAGCAAGGUCGGACCCAGAGCGAGGACGGCCGAGUGCAAAGAAACCUCUUGGGUAGCAGAAGUAAGGGCUGGAAGAGUCCCUGGGAGCAGUCCUGGCAUUCCCUGCUGUAAGAGGAGUCCUGACGUUCAACGUCCGGACAGGAAGGCGGAGGCCUGAAUUUAUUGUGCCCUGGAGCUCUCCCAUCGUUAUAAAACAUCUUGAUGGAGCUGCCUUUCUUCUCUAGGAAGAAUGAA